UUGUUUGGAGAGUUUGAUUCUGGCUCAGGACGAACGCUGGCGGCGUGCUUAACACAUGCAAGUCGAACGGUAAGGCCCUUCGGGGUACACGAGUGGCGAACGGGUGAGUAACACGUGGGUAAUCUGCCCUGCACAUCGGGAUAAGCCUGGGAAACUGGGUCUAAUACCGAAUAGGACCACAGAACACAUGUCCUGUGGUGGAAAGCUUUUGCGGUGUGGGAUGGGCCCGCGGCCUAUCAGCUUGUUGGUGGGGUGAUGGCCCACCAAGGCGACGACGGGUAGCCGGCCUGAGAGGGUGUCCGGCCACACUGGGACUGAGAUACGGCCCAGACUCCUACGGGAGGCAGCAGUGGGGAAUAUUGCACAAUGGGCGAAAGCCUGAUGCAGCGACGCCGCGUGGGGGAUGACGGCCUUCGGGUUGUAAACCUCUUUCACCAUCGACGAAGGUUCGGGUUUUCUCGGAUUGACGGUAGGUGGAGAAGAAGCACCGGCCAACUACGUGCCAGCAGCCGCGGUAAUACGUAGGGUGCGAGCGUUGUCCGGAAUUACUGGGCGUAAAGAGCUCGUAGGUGGUUUGUCGCGUUGUUCGUGAAAUCUCACGGCUUAACUGUGAGCGUGCGGGCGAUACGGGCAGACUUGAGUACUGCAGGGGAGACUGGAAUUCCUGGUGUAGCGGUGGAAUGCGCAGAUAUCAGGAGGAACACCGGUGGCGAAGGCGGGUCUCUGGGCAGUAACUGACGCUGAGGAGCGAAAGCGUGGGGAGCGAACAGGAUUAGAUACCCUGGUAGUCCACGCCGUAAACGGUGGGUACUAGGUGUGGGUUUCCUUCCUUGGGAUCCGUGCCGUAGCUAACGCAUUAAGUACCCCGCCUGGGGAGUACGGCCGCAAGGCUAAAACUCAAAGAAAUUGACGGGGGCCCGCACAAGCGGCGGAGCAUGUGGAUUAAUUCGAUGCAACGCGAAGAACCUUACCUGGGUUUGACAUGCACAGGACGCCGGCAGAGAUGUCGGUUCCCUUGUGGCCUGUGUGCAGGUGGUGCAUGGCUGUCGUCAGCUCGUGUCGUGAGAUGUUGGGUUAAGUCCCGCAACGAGCGCAACCCUUGUCUCAUGUUGCCAGCGGGUAAUGCCGGGGACUCGUGAGAGACUGCCGGGGUCAACUCGGAGGAAGGUGGGGAUGACGUCAAGUCAUCAUGCCCCUUAUGUCCAGGGCUUCACACAUGCUACAAUGGCCGGUACAAAGGGCUGCGAUGCCGCGAGGUUAAGCGAAUCCUUUUAAAGCCGGUCUCAGUUCGGAUCGGGGUCUGCAACUCGACCCCGUGAAGUCGGAGUCGCUAGUAAUCGCAGAUCAGCAACGCUGCGGUGAAUACGUUCCCGGGCCUUGUACACACCGCCCGUCACGUCAUGAAAGUCGGUAACACCCGAAGCCAGUGGCCUAACCCUUUGGGAGGGAGCUGUCGAAGGUGGGAUCGGCGAUUGGGACGAAGUCGUAACAAGGUAGCCGUACCGGAAGGUGCGGCUGGAUCACCUCCUUUCUAAGGAG
rnacentral:rRNA from 1 species